rnacentral:misc_RNA from 1 species
CGGCCGCGUUCGCUCCCUCCUCCACGGAGCCGAGCGGCGCC